UCCAGCCACACUCGGCGCUAUCUGCGCCUGCGCAAAUUUCGCUGUUUGCGCCUGCCCAGAGCGGCCACUUUGGAGGCUGUCCAGCCUCAGGGCCCUGUGGACCCUGAGCUGCCAGGCACUUGGAGUCACAUCUAGAAGAGUCAGCAGGAGCCACAUCUCGCUGUAGAGGGCACCCAGAAGCCACAAGCUUCCCUGGCCAGGGCCAAGAGAGGGUCCCAAACAAGCAGGACUCGGAAGAAACUGCGCGGGGCACUUACGCCAGGCCACGAGACCUCUGGAACCGGUAGCGCCUACCUGCUUGCUUAGAACACCACAGUCCACGAAGCACAGCUGGGAACAGGAAGCUUUGUAAAAACAAUGGGUGAGCAAUAAAAUAAGCUUUCCUGAGCCAAGCUACUGUUCCCUCCUAAGGAUGCAGCAUUGCUUUGUGAUUCACACCUCAGUGCAUUCGGUUUUUUCAAGACUGACUUUAACCCCAGACACGGGGAAGUUACCUGACUCAAGCCUAGACCAAUCGGUGCAUCCGCCUCAUGGGGAAAGCAUGAAGGGCAACAUAUUGUGAUGGAGGCUGGAAGCCUUCACUACAGCCAAACAUACCAGGGAUCUGCCCUCAUGUCUUCAAAAGUGUGAGCAAGCAAACUUUCUGUUCUUUGUGAAUUCCCCAGCCUCAGAUGUAGUGUUACAGCAAUAGAAAAUGAACUAACCUCUGAUUCUCUCACAACCGACAGUGGUGAAUGGCAACGAAUAACCAUACCAGGAACCCUUUGCACUGCAUCACCAUUGUAUCAUCCAGAUGACCAGUUUCAGCACCACCUCUGGAACCAGCUAAUGAAAAUGAGGGUGAUUCUUUGGGUGGAAACUUUGGAAAGAGUCACGAAAACGGUGAUGAAAGUACCGCGUGAACGCUGCUCCAUAUCCUGAGAAACUCAGUGAACCAUGACUACCUUGUUGUGGGGCCUGCACUCUUCCCUCUCUCUGGCCCCUCCACAGGAUGUGUUCCUGGAUGUAUCCUGUAAGUUCUAAGACCUUUGGAAACUACUAAUCAAUGUUUUUCAAAAUGUUGUCUAGCCUCUCAUUUAGCCUCUAUUUGAAUGGACAGGUGGGAAGAGGUCAGAGUAGAUCACAUGCAGGGAGAAUGAUUGCUCAAUUUCUAGGCAUGUAUGAGCUCUGAGAACCAAUACUCAUUUGUUUAUUAAGUCAGAAUAACCCACAGACUCCACUCAGGUCCUGGACACAUACACACUAUGCCACAGACAGCCAAAGAGUGGCCACUGGGAAUAUUUCCAGCAGUAGAAACUUUGGUAUAAAAUAAUGACACUCUUCAGUUCCUUACAAUAAAACUGUGUGGGUGGGGAUGGAUCCUGAGCUGUUUUCCAUAUAGAAUCCAACAGUUAAAGUUACACAAACAGAAAGAAAUGUUUUGCAAGUGGGCCACCUGCACACUUCAGCACCAGCGUAACUUCAGAACUUGUGAACAGUCGUCACAUAAGUUUUCGACGCACUGCAGAAAUAAAGUUCUUUUGCCCACCGUGAUGUCACAACACUGACUGACAGGUUGCUGGGUCUGCUAAGGAACUUGGCAACAAGACUGCCUGGUGAGCCAGGAAAACUGCACUUUGGCCCUGGCAAAACAAUGAACCCCAUUUCUUGUGAUUCUGCCUCAUUUGUGUAACUACAUAGCAAACAUUUAUUCAGCAUCUGCUAUUCUUAUCAUGACACACAAGAUUUUGUAGUGUGAAAGCAUCUGCAUUAGAAUAAUAUUCCAAGGAGGACCUAUUUCACACUAUGGUUCUCUCAGCAAACUUCUGCUUGGAUUUCUGCAGCCAAACCCUGUCAUUGGUCCGCCUGUGGGCACGGGCUCCUCGUCAGCCCUCUCAGCUUCCCUACAUCUCCUCUCUGGAGUGUCUUAUUCUCCUCUCAGAUCUGCAAUGCAGUCUAUGUACAUCAAGGUUUUGAUCCUGCUCAAAGACCCCCUAGACAUCUACUACCUAGAUAUCUUCUAAGCCUCCCUGUUUGUGCCCCAUCAUUAAGAAAUGGGAUCUUGCUGUCUGUUCCUCUAAUUUGGCUGAUUCCAAUCAGCUGACAGUAAACAGAAGAGAAGGGAGGAACCAUCUCCACUUCUGCUCUCCAGUGUUUGGUAAGCAGUCACUUCUGCACUGAGUCCAUUCAAGACAGUGGGCAAAGAAUUCCUCCUGUGGAGGGGAAGCAGGUAUUGUGAGGAUAUUUUGCACCCAGUGGCUGUGGCAAAAGACCCUCAGACACCUGAAUGCACACCUAAGAAGGGGCAAGUCUGGGAAGGGGUAGAUGAGUGUCAUGGUUUAUGUCGGUGGCCCCCAGGCCUCAUGCAUUUGCAUUAUGCAUUUGUGAUUGGUUCAUUGUCUAGGGCUUGUAUUGGGGGUGUGAGUGCUACACUGGCCUAGUGGUGGAGUCAGGAUGUAAUAGCAGGAAGAAGGUGUGUCUUGCUCUCUUUUGCCUGUUUCCUCCUUGCUGUUUGCAGCCACCAUGACCUAUGACCCAGCCAUGCCACCCUGCCUUGUAGCCAACUGAAUGUGGCUGAAACCUCCAGAAGCUGUAAGAAAUAAACCUUUCCUUUCCUAACUUUGGGCAGUGGGUAUUUUGUCUCAGUGAUGAGUAAAAACUAACUAAGUUAAUGAGUCACAGGAAAUGCUGCAGAAACCAUGGGAAGAGUGAAUCACUGAAAGAGGUGACUCACAUUCUGUCCCCUCUGCCUACAGACACAUGUUGGCUUCCCUUCCCUGGCCUAAUUCUCACUGUCUUUUAUGCUCAGCUUUGUGUGUUAACUUUGGAGAGAUGACUUCUCUGGCUCCAGGUACCAUGGCUAAGACAUCCAUGCCAUGGUGCCGCCUCUUGUGGAGUCCUGACCCACUGUCAGAGAGUCAUUAAAUUUCCUUGUGACAACCAUGCACGAGACUGGAUCUUGCAAACCUCACGCAUACUGAAUACUAGGCUUGCAGAAUGGAGACACAAACAGCAUGCCGGUAAAGGUAAAUCUGCAUAUCAAACAGACAGCAAAUUACAGUUUUAAUUUAAGCUUGUUCUGUCCACAUUCCAUCUGUAGAAAAUCUCCUGGACUAGGACACCAGACAAGAUGGGUGCCAAUCUCAGUGAAUGAAUGAACAGAGUAUUUCAAGGAUAUUCGGCCAACAGACCCGAAGGCAGAUCCACAUCUGAUUUUAGCUCACUGCGGUGAAUCCUGCACAACUUUAUGCAUUACUUUUUCCUGCAAUGACAAAACACUAACGUGCACCAGCCUCAGAAGACCCCUGGGCUCUCCGUCUGAUGCCAUGACCAUCAUUCAGAACAUUAAGAUGGAAAUUACAGAGCAUUUCCGGCAAUGAAGUUGUGAUAAGCUUGCGGGAGGAAUAACCUGAUAUCUAAACAUCCUCAUGUACCCAGGGUCUUUGUAUUAAAUCACACGCGGAAAUGGCUGUAUUGACACGGUGAAUAGAACAGAACAACAGCUCGCUGUCCCAAGGUGAUUAUUUCCACCCUCACUUGGGCAGCUAGAAGGUCGCCUGUGACAUCCAUCACAGUAAAGCGAGUCCUUCUCCAGGUAAAAGGCCAUGCCAGGGCUGGGUGCAGGCUGCUCCUUGGGAAGAGGUAACAGAGGAUGCAGAGUCAGGGAGGUAAGCAGACAAGUACAGACAAUGUGAAAUUCAAACACGAUUAAGAUUCCACUACCUGUUUUCACUGCACAUUUCCUUCCUUAAGGAGCAUCAUACCCUCAGGUCUGAAUCUGUUUUCUUCAGCACAGAUUUUCCUUUGUCUCUCACACAGUUUCUUGUCAUAGUUUGCAAACUUGCUUAGCUGUCAGGAAGUACAGACAAUCUAAAUACGUAAGUUGGUGGUUACCUAGAGCCAUUUAGCAAAAAGAGUUUUACGUGUCAGUUAUGUAGCUUUUUACUUAGUUAGUUUUAUUUUGUUAGAAUUCUUUUUCUAAGAGCAAGUCUAGAUUCACAGGUAAAGCAGAGGUAUGGAAAUGUCCCAUACGAGCACCAUCUUGGCCUGCUUCCUCACGGUCAGGAGAAAAUGCCUGACAAACGCAACCUAAGAGUGAAGCUGCUGUGUGGCUCAUGGCUUCGAAGGUUUCCGUCCACAGUCACUGUAUCCACGGCAGAGCCACCAUGGUAGAAGGGUGAGGAGGGGGAGAGCUGCUCACCUCAGGGAGGCCAGAAGCAGAGUGGGCUGGAAUGAGCCAGAGCAGAAGGGCCAGGGAUCGUACUCAAAGCUUAUGACCCAUUUUCUCCAAGCAGACCUCAUCUCCUAGAGGCCCACUCAGCCGUGAACUCACCAGUGGUGUGUUUGCUGCCCUCACAGCCCAGUGAACACUCUAGGAAUCCUAUAGACCAACCAAGCUGGCACUGAAGACUCACCAGCACAUGCCCCAUGCUCACACACACACAGUGCUCCCCCUUGUCAGCCCUCCCAUUCGCCAUGGAUGACCAACUUUCUUUGACACUUCCUUGUCACUCAGGGUCCACAGCUACAGUGAGUUUUGUUCUUGGUGUUGUAUUUUCUGUAUAUUUGGACAAAUGUAAAAUGACACAUACCUGUGUAUUUCGUAGUGAUAUAAAGUUUAUGGUGAUAUAAAAAUAAUACCCAGCCAGGGUCAGUAUAAUAAAAUAAUAUCAGCCAGGCUCCUGGCUGUAAUCUGAGCUAUUUAGGGGUCUAAAGCAGGAUUCCUUGAUACUUCAAGGUCAACUUAGGAAACACAGUGAGACCCUAUUUCAAAGUGCCUUGUCUGCAGUUUGGUUUGAGAAAAAUAACAGGAAAGGAUACUAUUGUCAUGAGUGUUUGUGUCGAGCCCUUGGAAGGGGUUUGGCAUAGCUUCUUUUAUCCCUGUCUUUCCAUGAGCUGCUAAGGAAGAAAUGGCAAUUUUUCUCCAUCUUUGGAUAAACAGCACAAUAGGAAGGUCAAUCCUAACGGGUCACACAGGAAGUGAAGGUCCAAGCUUGGGUUUUACCAGAGUUUUUACCAUAGUUCUUAAGAAUCUGUGUCUCUAAGCACCACAAGGGGAAUUCCAGAUACUUUCCAAAGACCCACCUGGACAGGUGGAAUGCUGAGAGUGUCCCUAAUUUAUAAAGCUCAGUAAACUCUGACCACAUCCAGGAAGUCAGGAAAGACAAGGGCCCCCAGGUUGAGGGAGUCUUGAUUUGUUUAGGAGGCCUAGUGAAUGGGUCUCCCUCUGAAGCUGGAUAUGGCUUUUCUCACAUGUAUCUUUGUUUCCCAUCUUACCAAAAAGACUCUGGGACAAACUUGACUUUUAAGAGGCAAAUACUGUCCUUAAUUUCCUUUAACCCAAGGCUGAGUGUCACUCAGGACGUGGAAUUGCUUGAUUUCACUCACAGUGCUGAAGCUCCAAUCUGCAAGGCUGCUUAACAAGAUGAUGACCUCGGAGUCUAGAAAGCCCUGGGAUACUGGGACUUGUGUGUUGGCCCUACUACAGCUUCACAUUAAGGUGCAGACAGGGAUACACCAGGUGGAUCUAGGCUGCAGAGGGCUUCGCUUGGCUCUGUCUGGGUUAACAUCCUCACCCUCUCCCCUGGGCCUGUGGUCACUUGUACUUCUCACUUGGUUCCAGAAUUUAGGGUGCUUGAGAGCUCUAUGAGCAUUGCAUGUUUCCUGUGCCUUUACAUGUAUACAGACACACUGGUUAAUGUUUAUAAGUAUUCUCAUGUGACACUUAAAUACAAGUAUUUCAUUAGGAAGACCAGACAGCUCUUCCUUCUUUGGAGAUGUUGGGGAGAUUCCUUCCUUGAUGGCUCCAGAAGAACACUGCUCUGUCCAGACAUGGGCUGCUGAGUAAUUCUGAUGCACAGCUGACAUCCUCUGGGACACAGCACCCUUGGGAAUGAGCCCUGUGGAUGGAACUCAAGCUCACCCUCCUUUAAAGGCAGAAAAGGGAAAAAUAGGCUUAAUGAAGCCUUCUGUAAUCUCUUAAGAGCUGAUAUGUUUAAUUUGGUAAUUAUUACUAAAAUAAAUGAUUACUAAUAAGUGAGGUUUUUGCAACUUGGUGAUGAGGUAGGAUUCCGUUUGUUUUUUUUUUUUUUUUUUUUCAGCUGUGGAUAAUUAACUGUGAAGGGAGCAAUUAUAGAUCUUCUAAGUAAAAAUCAAAUUAAAUAAUUAUAUCACUUAGUUAAGUAUAAAAUAUUUUCCUCAUUCGUUUUCAUAAUUAAGAAUACUAAUCUAAAACUAUUGAAUGGCAUGAGUAUGUGAUGUAAUUAUACUUUAUGGUCAGGAAGAAAAUGAAGACAGGAAAGGCUGACACACAUCAGCGUGGAGCUAACAGAUCAGCCAGAAGUCCGGAAAUUUGGGUCCAACAAACCUGGAAUCUGUGACUAGAAAGCUUUCUGAAGUCACCCUGUGAUCCUCAAGAAAUUCAAACUCAAUGAUCCCUUCAGUCAAAAUUAGGUCUAUGUACAAAUCAAAGGGAGAGAGAGAGGGAGAGCGAAAGAGAGGGAGAAAACUAUGCUCCUCUUUUACUAGUUGAAUGACACAUGAAAAUAAGCAAAGUGUAGAAAAGUUGAGCAACACAAUCAAUCAGACACAAAUGACAUCUGGUAACUGCUCCACAUCCAAAGAGCAGGAUAAACAUUCGUCUUAGGCAUGGAUGGAGCUUUUAUCACUACAAACCAAACUCUGGGUCCUAAGAGAUGUAUCAAUAAAUUGGAGAAAGGAUUCAAAUAACAUAACAGUUGCAUUUCGUAGUCAAAAUGGAAAUAUAAAAUAAGUCCAUAAAUGCUUGGAAAUUAAAUAACACAAUUUUAAAGAAGAUCUCAAGCCAGAAAUUGUAAGGUAGCGUGCAAUGAACAGAAAUGAAGAAGCAAUAUAUCAAAAUUCAUGUGGUAAUGUUAAAGCAGUGCUCAGGGGAUCUGUGUUUCAAGAUGUGUUCAAUAUGGCUUAUUAUCGGAAAAAUAAAAAUCGUGGCACCAGUGUAAUAGACCUCCAGCCCAAUCAGGAUGAAUUAUCAGAAAUUCAAAAAAAUCCUCCACAAAAAACAAAACCAAUCAAAAACACAACAAUGAAUAUUGGAGAAGAUGUGCAAGGCGGGGUGAGUUUUCAUAUAUUGUUCUUGGGAAGAUAAACUAGUACAAAUGCUACUGAUGACACUAGGGAGGAUCCCCAAAAUAUUUCAAAGCUUAGCUCCAUCCAACAACCGGGUGUGCGUCCAGAGGAAAAGAAAUGAAAGGGCUGACAAGACACCCCCACUCUCAGUUUAUGAGGCACUGUUCACAGCAGCCAAGGUAUGGACAUGUUGGGAGCCGUGGCACUGUCAAGUCAUCAGACGCGGUGAUUGCGAGGCCUGUGGGAAAGUACAAAAGCCUGGGCUAGAUUACCCCUCUCAUCGAGCCCGCCUGUGUGGCACCUGUUUCUUAUCACCCCACUAAGUUCCCGCCUCACAGGGUAGUCUGCCUAGCUAUUAAUCCUAUAUAUAGCCAGUGCCUCCACCCCCGAGAGAGAGAGAGACUGAAGCACAAAAGGAGCCGCGGGGAGCGGACCGGUAGAGGCUUCGGGGCAGACUGAAGCACGGAAGGAGCCGCGGAGAGCGGACCGGUAGAGGCUUCGGGGCAGACUGUAUAAGGAGAGAAUAAAGAAAAGCCUGACCACCGCCAGACCUUGUCGUGUGUCUUUCCUGCCGGCCGGGAGCGGACAUCGACAUUUGGUGGCCCGCACGGGGAUUGAUCAACCCCGAGACGCGGCGGUGGACUGCAUUCUCCUACACAGUGCUGCAGCUGCAGGACAGGUGAGUAGAGGAUAAGCCUGGGCCCUGGGUGGCGCGCACCUACAGGGUUUGUAGACUCCUCUCAACCUCACGCGUAAGUGGCGGGUUUCUUGGGCCUCACGCGGUGAGUAUGAAACAUAACACCAGAACUUAAGGUAAUAAAAGAGUGUAAAACAUAAACAUAGAAGUAAAAAUAACAGAAGAUAUAUUAAAAAUGGGAAACAUGCCAAGUAAAGAUACACAGCCUUGGUGUUGGUCCUUCGGAGACUCCUAAAGUCCAAGGACCUCAAGGUGGGGCGUAAGACUUUAGAAAAUUUCCUUGCAGAGAUUGACAGCUUUGCUCCCUGGUUUCUGCCUACAGGGCAUGUAAACCUGCCCUCCUGGGAAAAGUUGGGCAGAGACCUUUCCCUAGCAGAGCGGGAGGGUAGAGCUUCAGUCUCUGCUCGUCCAUUGUGGGAAAUGAUACACACGUGCCUAAAGAGUGAGGGUAGUUACGGGGGGAGCUCUCAAGAACUUGUAGAAGUACGCGAGGUGUUUGAACAGGCACAGUGAGGAAGCUCCCGACCGAGAAGGGUCCGUCAAGGAGGGCAGAGAUACAAAAGAGGAAGCCGAGGCGCGGUUUGUGUCUUUCCGCAGGAAUCGGGACGAGAACCAAUGUGGGUCCCAGAGAGGUUGACGCGACAAGUCCCUCGACUGAAGAUCAGGCCUGUUCCACCAGAGGCCAACCGCAGACCCAACAACAAGAUGAGCCCUAAAAGAACUGCAGGACAAUCCCUUUUUGGGGGCCUGGAACGGCUUGCUCCCCUAUGUGCUACCCUUGUAUACGCAUGGCUCGCUCGCAUGGCCUACGACCGCGUUUAAAAGUGACAGGCUUCCCACAUUCUCCUCCCUAGACAACAACAUGUAGCAGGGUGGGUGAGUCAAUGACGGGUAAGAGCGUGCCUCCCCAGCACGACUCAACCUAAGCCAGGCCCUACCCCGUUCCGCUCGAAAGCCGCUGGAUUGUUAGAUAAAUUUCUCUCCGAGGGGAUUCGUGGAGAGAAAUGAGUGCAUGCCUAUGUGCAACCAGGUUCCGUCCGGUUCAUUCCUGGCCCUAGAAAAAAGGACGAGGGCCUCGGGGCCUUGGUGGACCCUGGGACGGCCGACCAGGGUCUACGCUAAGGGCCUACGGUGGGCCUCAGUUCGGGGCAUAGGCCUCUGCACUCUAUCCAGGACGGGCUGCGAUGCGCGUAGCCAUCAUUUAAAAUAAAAUAGGGGGAGAUGUUGGGAGCCGUGGCACUGUCAAGUCAUCAGACGCGGUGAUUGCGAGGCCUGUGGGAAAGUACAAAAGCCUGGGCUAGAUUACCCCUCUCAUCGAGCCCGCCUGUGUGGCACCUGUUUCUUAUCACCCCACUAAGUUCCCGCCUCACAGGGUAGUCUGCCUAGCUAUUAAUCCUAUAUAUAGCCAGUGCCUCCACCCCCGAGAGAGAGAGAGACUGAAGCACAAAAGGAGCCGCGGGGAGCGGACCGGUAGAGGCUUCGGGGCAGACUGAAGCACGGAAGGAGCCGCGGAGAGCGGACCGGUAGAGGCUUCGGGGCAGACUGUAUAAGGAGAGAAUAAAGAAAAGCCUGACCACCGCCA